rnacentral:rRNA from 1 species
UACGUAGGGGGCUAGCGUUGUCCGGAAUCAUUGGGCGUAAAGAGCGCGUAGGCGGCCAGAUAAGUCCGGUGUGAAAGUCAAAGGCUCAACCUUUGAAUGCCGCUGGAAACUGUCUGGCUAGAGUCCGGGAGGGGCGAGUGGAAUUCCUGGUGUAGCGGUGAAAUGCGCAGAUAUCAGGAGGAACACCGGUGGCGAAGGCGGUUCUCUGGGCAUGUCCUGACGCUGAGGAGCGAAAGUGUGGGGAGCGAACAGG